UCUCCGUUGGUGAACCAGCGGAGGGAUCAUUACCGAGUUUACAACUCCCAAACCCCUGUGAACAUACCAUUUGUUGCCUCGGCGGUGCCUGCUUCGGCAGCCCGCCAGAGGACCCAAACCCUUGAUUUUAUUCAGUAUCUUCUGAGUAAAUGAUUAAAUAAAUCAAAACUUUCAACAACGGAUCUCUUGGUUCUG
rnacentral:misc_RNA from 1 species